AGCUUUGCGCAGUGGCAGUAUUGUAGCCAAUGAGGUUUUAUCCGAGGUGCGAUUAUUGCUGUUAUUCAAAUUAAAAACCUUCAUUAGCACUCCAUUGAGAUUUUCAUAAAAAUUUCAGAAAAGUGUUUCCUUGUUCUUUUUAUAU
rnacentral:snRNA from 1 species